rnacentral:rRNA from 1 species
GAAUUUUGGGCAAUGGGCGAAAGCCUGACCCAGCAACGCCGCGUGAGGGAUGAAGUAUUUCAGUAUGUAAACCUCGAAAGAAUGGGAAGAAUAAAUGACGGUACCAUUUAUAAGCUCCGGCUAACUACGUGCCAGCAGCCGCGGUAAUACGUAGGGAGCAAGCGUUGUUCGGAUUUACUGGGCGUAAAGGGCGCGUAGGCGGCGCGGUAAGUCACUUGUGAAAUCUCUGAGCUUAACUCAGAACGGCCAAGUGAUACUGCUGUGCUAGAGUGCGGAAGAGGCAAACGGAAGUCUUGGUGUAGCGGUGAAAUGCGUAGAUAUCAAGAGGAACACCUGAGGCGAAGGCGGGUUGCUGGGCCGACACUGACGCUGAUGCGCGAAAGCCAGGGG